AUAUUCUUUAAAGAUGACCCUGUGAGCCACCGCUGCACAGCCCCUCCCCGCAGAAAACCUACAGCCUUUGCAGAAUCCCCCUGGCUUUCUGGACCUGAUUCCCAUCUGGCCUGUCCCGGGAGCCCUUUCUUCCUCACUUGGUGAGACCCCUCUCUAACAAGGGGGAUUGCGUCCAGGCCGAGGUGGGGAGAGCCGCAGACCGGAACAGGCCUGGGGAGGAAGAGGAGGCCGGCGGCUCAGCCAGGACUGGAAAGGCCUUCCGGAUGCCAGGGUUGAGAGCAGCCCACCUGACUCAGAGCAUCUCAGCAUUCCUGCCACGUGGUCUGUUCCUCUGCCACCUCCCAGCAAGCGCUCUAGUUUGGCAGUCCACUGUUCUUGAUGAAAUAUUUAUCACUACAUGGCAAAAUACGGUUUUGCAAGAGCUUCGAGUCCCAUAAGCCCGUGCCACCUGCCAAGAGUGUUGUGAUGAGGAGCGUAACCCAGCUCAGCCAGACACUGAACCAGUUGUUACAAAUGAAAGAUGAGUGUUUCCACUGGGCAGGGGCAAGGGGCCGUGGAAAUGUAGUUGGGGAGACUCACCUGGUUGGGAGUCAGCGGAGGAAGCCUAAGUGGACGUUGGCUGGGGAGGAGGAGGGGUGUGCCGAGGAGGGGAGCCCGCUGGAGGGACCUGGGCAAGUGGGGAGGGUGCCCAGGCCGGCGUGUGUUGUCUGGUGGAUGGGACAGCCUUGAGAAAUGUUGUGUUUAUAAAAGUUGUUCACGGAAACACGUUCCUUUACCAAUUAGCUCCCGUUGGCCAAAGCACAGUUAAUGUUCGGAAAAAGCAAAUCUCCAGAAUGUUUUCCCCUUUUCUGUAGUUUUUAUUCUCUUUUCCAUUUCCACUUGUGAUUUUUCUGAGCCCGGGGACAUUUUGGGAGGGAUAUAAAAGGAUCUAAAACCUAGACAAUAGAGCAAACGCCUUUUGUUAAGUUGCUUUACCUGCCGUGUUAUUUGGUUUCCGGCUUUUAGCUAUGACUGCUGAGGGUGGAUUACAAAAGCGCUAACUCAGAGGACCUUCUCACUUACACCAGGAGGCUCCAUCUCCCGGGAAGAGGGAGGCCAGGCCAAUUUACACGGGAACCUGGCUUGAGUCUGAGUUCUGGGGUCAGGACCCUUAUCCUGCCCCACCUGGAGGCUUGCAGGACUGGAAG
rnacentral:lncRNA from 1 species